GUGCCAGCCGCCGCGGUAAUACCGGCAGCACGAGUGAUGGCCGAUCUUCUUGGGCCUAAAGCGUCCGUAGCCGGCCGGACAAGUCCGUUGGGAAAUCGACGCGCCUAACGCGUCGGCGUCCAGCGGAAACUGUCCGGCUUGGGGCCGGAAGGCUCGAAGGGUACGUUCGGGGUAGGAGUGAAAUCCCAUAAUCCCGCACGGACCACCGAUGGCGAAAGCACUUCGAGAAAACGGAUCCGACAGUGAGGGACGAAAGCCAGGGUCUCCAACCGGAUUAGAUACCCGUGUAGUCC
rnacentral:rRNA from 1 species